CGAUGAUAAGGAAACUAAACUGGAUUAAGUGCUAUCAUCUUGGAGGUGCAAAGGCAAACAAGGAGAAAGAAGUGAUUGAAGAGCACUUCAGAAAGCCUGGUACAUUCAAAUCAGCAGGGCUUGAUUACUCGCAUCCCAGGACACUUAAGGAAUUGGCAAAUAUAAUUGCAAGACCACCAGCCUUUAUUUUAGAAAAUGAAGGUUGGACAGAAGAAGGUCCUGACAAGUAGAAUCAGCAGAUGGAGUACCUGUUUUUUAAAACAGGGAAAAGGACAGCUGUAGUAAUUAUAGACUAUUCAGCUUAUCUUGGAUACCUGGGAAGAUACAAGAGCAAAUCAUCAAACAAUCAAUUUGCAACCACCUAGAAGAGCACAAGGUACUGGGUCGUAAUCAACAUGAUUUUGUGAAGUGCAAAUUAUGCCAUACCAAUUUAAUUUUAUCUAUGGUAGAGUGAUGAGCCUGGCAGAAGAGGGCAAAGAAAUAUCUACAACCGGACUUCAAUAAGGUUUUCUGUUUUUAUUUAAAAUAUUCCAUUUCCUGGCAUUUUCAGCAUCAACCUUCUGAGAGGAUACUAUCUGAACAGCAGUUGGUCACCAUCCUGUACAUUAGAUCUCUAGAAUGUAUUCAUCUUCUAAGUUAAAGUUCAUCCUUUACUUAAGGACAAAGUAAGGAAGAUCUUGGUUAUGUUGCAAAAAAAGGAAUAUUGAUCUCAGCGUUACUUUGACCAUUAAUGAAUUAUGAUGGCAAUAAGCAAAGAUGCGCACCUCUAGCCUCCAGGGAGCUUAAUCUUCUGCUACAACGUUUGCAUUUAGACAGGGUGUCUCUCUGCUGCUCAGGCUGGAGCGCAGUGGUGCGAUCACAGCUCACUGUAGCCUCGACUUCCUGGGCUCCAGUGACCCUCUCGCCUGAAACCGUACUCCCCCUCAAGCAGCUGAGACUACAGGCAGUGUUUAAGAAGGAUCCAGAAAUACUUCAAGCGAUGCCAGUGGUAGUGUUGCCUCCUCAGAAGACUGCUUUCAGGGGAACAGUAUACAUCUGCCCUAUAAAUUCUGGAUGCACUUCUCACACAGUAUUGAAUUCAUCUAUCCACCUGGCUCAUCAUACAAAUUGUUCCCUGAGUUCAAGGAUCAUGCUGCAUGCUGGAUUCCCCAGGAAGCUGCUUCUGAGAUGGAGUUUAGUGACCAAAAUAUGUAUGUGGGCCUUUGGGUCAUCACCUGUGGAAAGGAAGACAAGGAAACAGGAAUGGACCUAA
rnacentral:lncRNA from 1 species